AAACUGCGAUAAGUAGUGUGAAUUGCAUUUAGUGAAUCAUCGAAUCUUUGAACGCACCUUGCACUCACUGGUAUUCCGGUGAGUACGCCUGUUUCAGUAUCAUUGAAAACACACAAUCAAAACAUUUUCUUUGGUUUGAUUGGCUUUGGGUCUAUCAAAAAGUUUGGCUUGUUUCUUACAAGCCAAGCGGCCUGAAAUAUAUUGUCUGGCUAAUUGCAUCGUUGAUGAUCGCUAUUAGACUUUGGCUUUUUUAAAUGAACUGGAGGUUGAUUAACCAGUUUUAGCUUUAGUCAAAUGGUCAUUGUAAAAAAAAUCUCGAUCUUGGCUAGGUGUUUAUAGCCGAAAAUUUUUUUUUGGCUAUAACCGAAACCAAUAUAAUCACAUUUAGUUAUCGAUCUGAAAUCAGGUGGGACUACCCGCCGAACUUAAGC
rnacentral:misc_RNA from 1 species